GAUGAAGAACGUAGCAAAAUGCGAUAAGUAAUGUGAAUUGCAGAAUUCAGUGAAUCAUCGAAUCUUUGAACGCACAUUGCGCCCGCCAGUAUUCUGGCGGGCAUGCCUGUUCGAGCGUCGUUUCAACCCUCAAGCCCUCGGGUUUGGUGUUGGGGAUCGGCGAGCCUUUCUGGCAAGCCGGCCCCGAAAUCUAGUGGCGGUCUCGCUGCAGCCUCCAUUGCGUAGUAGUAAAACCCUCGCAACUGGAACGCGGCGCGGCCAAGCCGUUAAACCCCCAACUUCUGAAUGUUGACCUCGGAUCAGGUAGGAAUACCCGCUGAACUUAAGCAUAUCAUAAGCGGAGGA
rnacentral:misc_RNA from 1 species